UGAAAUGUCGAAACACAGAAUGCGGUCAUGUGAAUUGUGUUCCCUAUGGAAAAACACAUAGACUCUAGUAGUAGUACUAGUAGAUUGAAGACCUGGGAAAGUUGGAAUGCCAUGUUUCGUUGUCAACACAAAAUUAGGAACAGCAAUGAUUGAUAGUGUAGGUGGGCCGGUGAGAGGAGGGUCAACAAUUUGUUGUCAACACUCAAUAUACCAACAAUUGAAAUAAAAACAUGAAAAGAAAUGGAGAGACGUGUUGGAAAUAUCAUUGAGACAGUGGCUUCUAUGUCGACAGAAUCUGCUGCGAAAGAUCAAGGAAAUGGAGGAUGUGCAUCAUGAAGAAUCAAUGGUAUCAGAACACAACAUCAUGGAAGGUCUUAUUGACAAGAUCUUGGAGGAUGUCCUUUGCCAGGUGCCUCGCCAGCACUAAAGUCUAUUCUUCAGUCAGAUGCUACAGUUACAAAUGACAGUGAAUGGUCAGAUUUAUACAAUUGUGAUGAACAAUCCUCAACAAUACAUCAAACAAAAAUGCCUAUUAAACUUUCUCACAGACAGUCAAAGGUUGAAAACAAAUCAGAAGUGGUCCACAUCUUGAAAAACCUCACAGCAGAUUAAGACUUUCCCCGAAAUUUCCCUGUAAAACCCGCAGUGGUAUGUCCAGUGCAGUAGAUACUGCCUGGCACAAAAGAGGAUUUGACAGUUUAACAUGUAAGUAAAAUAAGAUUAUUUUUAUGCCCCCACAAUGUGGGAGCAUAUAGCGUUGCACUUGUCAGUUCGUCCCAAAAUCUUGUGAACGCAACUC